AAAUGUUUUAAUUGAAAACAAUCAUAGUAAGGUAUGUAAUUGUUAUCCAGAAAUGAUUUGAUAUUAAGAUAAAAGCGGAUGCAUUGGACCUUUAAAGAGCAUACAGAAACAAAGUUACAAAAUGUAGGCCUAUCCCAUAUUUGCUAACUACGUUGAACAUGUUUUGUUGUCCACAUUGUUCUAAGUAAUUGCAUGGCUUCAAUAUGGAAAUGUAUUGAUAAACAUAACAGUUGGCUCGGCCUACUGUAAAUCAAAUAAAGGUGUAUUGGUUGUGUACACAGUUUAGCAGAUGUUAUAAUGGUUGCAGCGAAAUGCUUGUAUUACCAGCUCCUAAAAAGGCAGUAAACAUGUCAAACAAGUUAACAAAUAAUAAUAAAAAUAAUUAAAAAAACAAGAAAUCACAAAUGUCAGGAUGAAACCAGUUACAACCUAAAGAACACCGUAUCAGUUAUCCAAAUUAAAUAUAUGUGUAUACUCCAAAAAGAUAUACUACGAAUUAUAUGUACAGUACAGCAGUAGAUAUAUUAGAGUGAGCUAUGUCAAGAAUCCAGUAUAUAAAUACAGGUGGUGUAUAUAAACAGUUUAACAAUAAUACAGUAUAUGAAUAGACAGUGUGAAAACUGUAUAAAAGAUAAGUUCCAGAGUUGAAUGUAUAUUCAUAUAUAUACAUGGGACAGCAGCAUUGGAUGUGUGUGCGUGUGUAUAUGUGAGUGCGGAGUGUGCGUGUGUUAGCUUGUGUGUUUUAACAAUAAUACAUACUACUUUUCACAACACCCAAAAUCACUUUACAUACACAUGAAGAUAUGCAGGAUAAAAAUCUAUAACCACAGUAAGAGGCGUUAUAGAGGCAGGCAUGUGGAAUACCUGAUGAGACUACGUCGUAGAGUAGAUAAACCGCCUCUACCCUCCGUUCUAUUGGCGAACGUGCAAUCACUGGAGAAUAAACUGGACGAGCUUCGUUAAAGACUAUCGUAUCAACGUGAUCUGAAGAACUGUAAUGUCCUAUGUUUCUCCGGGACAUGGCUGAAGAAGGACAGGGGAAAUAUAAAUAUACUGCACAUCUAGCUGGUUUUUCUAUACAUCAGCAGGACAGAAUGGCAGCGUCAUGUCCGAAGGAGGGUGGUGUGUGUCUCUUUACUAACAACAGCUGGUGCGUGAUCUCUAAUAUUAAGGAAGUCUUGAGAUUCUGUUCGUCUGAGUUACCUCAUGACAAUCUGUAGACUGAAAUUCAUCUUACCUAAUUUCUACCAUGAUGUCACCUGUGCAACGAGAGACGGAAAAACUCUCGAUCACUUUUACUCCACACACAGAGACUCAUACAAAACUCUCCCUUGCCCUCAAUUUGGAAAAUAUGACCAUAACUCUAUCUUCCUUCCAAACAGGAAGUACCAGGGGCGUGAUCAAUAGAUGGUCAGAUGAAGUGGAUGCUAAGUUACAUGACUGUUUCGCUAUCACAGACUGGAAUAUGUUCCGGGAUUCAUCUGAUGGCAUUGAGGAGUUUACGACAUCAGUCCCCGGCUUAAUUGACCAUACGUACAUAUACCAACAAGAAGCCAUGGAUUGCAGGCAACAUCCUUAUUGAGCUAAGGGCUAGAGCUGUCGCUUUCAAAGAGCGGGACACUAAUCUGUAAUCAACUAUCUAGCUAGGUACAGCUAUUUAACUUUCUAGCACAGUCACUCACUCAUUUGUUCGUAAACAAUUAACAAGCUAGUUAGCUACCAAAUGUUCUUGUCAAACUGCCAAUUGAGUAGCAAGCACAAGAUCUGCCAAAUGACAGUCUAAAAAACACUUGAGGGCAAAUCAAUCAGAUUUGACCGUUCAGACACAAGUCACAUGUCCAGGAAUUAGAUUUGAAUCUGAUUUUAAACCACCUAUGAAGGUGUUGCUUGAAAUAUCUGAUUCCAUGUGCCUUUUGGCUGUUCAGACUGCAGGUAAAAAUAACAGAUUAGAAUUAGAUAUGCAAAAAACUAGGAUUUGAGUCACUUCAAACAGUGUGAACAAGGCUCUGUGAUGUUGUCAGCAAACUGGAUGAUUGAGCCAAAGGCUGAGCCAUGGACAUGCCAACCAUAGUCAAUAAGCAAGAUGAAAUUCACUAUUGAUAAGGCAUAAAAAAAGAGUGAAUCAUUCUUAUCAAAUUAAAAACGAAACAACUUGUUUAAAAUAGGCUAAAUACAGCUACAGACACCAUAAUUGCUCCCCGUGGGCAUAUAAUAUCGCCGUAACGCAGAACGUGGAGCUUCUUAUGCAUUUCCCAACUUUUCACAGACGCUGGGCAAAGAUCCAAUAUAAAAAGCAUUUCCACUCACCUUUCUACUGAUCCCAAAUAUAAUGUUUUAUAAACAUAAUGGAAAGAUAAACGUGCACGACUCCACCUUAUAUGAAUUUACAUCGGGUGCUAGAUCCUCGUAUAUAAUCCAAAGAACAGAAUUAGGACAGCACUCGGGUAAAUAAACCUCCAUUGACAUAUAAACAUAUUGGACCCCAUUUUACAGAUCGUGUUCACGCUUCUCCAGAAAUAGCAGACUGUUCCUAAAUUCCAUUGCAUGCGAGCUGGACAUUUUCAUCAUAAAGCCAGGGCGGUGUUUGUUUUUUAAUCAAAUUAAACGAAAAACAAGCCAUUGUUUCAGGAAAAUAAGUUCUGAAUACAAGGGUCACCAGCAUCAUCUCAUCUCUCUUUUCAUGAUGGCAAAUGGACAGAUAGCCUACAUGGAGGGGUUUUACGCACGGGCUAAAACAAUGUAGGCCUAGAUCAAAAGGGAUUUCCGUUCAUUUUUUUUGCUUAACUUUAAUUAAGAUUUAUUUCAAAGCAGUCUUACGAGUCAAAUCCUUGAUUGAUAAGCUUGACUACUUUGCGAACGCAUUGGGCAGGACCCCCCCAAAAUGCCUUCAUUGAGGGCAUAUAACGCUUGGUUUUAAAUCAAAUAAAACCAAAUGGAGAAGAAAAACAGUCGUUUUUGAUGUUUAUUAAUGUGAGGGUUACCAUCUCCUCUUGGGCACUGUGCAUUGUGGCUGGAUAGGUUGCGCUUUCACUCACAAAAUCCAUGCCGUCACAAACCACCAUGUUAACGCUUCGAUCACACCGACAGUGUUUUUGCAUUUUGGUAAAUCCAACAUAUGCACCACACCGAACGCACAAACGCAGCGUUUCAUUGGAAAUUAAUGUAAUUAUGGUGUACCAAAAUGCAAUGAUGUGGUGUACCAGAUGUGGUUCACCAGAAGUACAUUAAUAUCCAAUUAAACGCUGCGUUUGGUGUGGUGCAAAGCAGCGCCAUCUGGAUAUGUUUGCAACAAAAGUUCAACAUUCACCUUCUGCUACCAUUUCUGUCAAGCCAUCUACACAUACAGUUUGACACAUACAUUCGAUAAAUCAAAUUUAUACAACACACAGAACACACUGCAACUGCCUCUGCAAUGCAAUGUUGUGUUUGCAGCAUUCCAUUGGAAAUGAAUGUACUUGUGGUGUACCAAAAUGCAUUGAACAGAGUACUGAAUGGACAAAGGUAAUGUUUGUAAAGCAAGAUGGAGGAGAGCUUGUCUCUGCUGAGAGAUCACAUUUAUUUGGGGAGAUUGCAAAGUAUGACCUUUUCAUUCGAGACAGGAUGAAUAUAUAGUUUCAGGUGAUAAUAAAACAUGAUAUGUUUAGUUUAUUUUUCCUCAACUUGUUUCUGUAACUUUAUUGCAAGUCAAGCUAGCUAAAAGCCAGGCUAGGUUGCACUGCAGAGCAGCUAGCGAGCUAAAAGCCAGGCUAGGUUGCACUGCAGAGCAGCUAGCGAGCUAAAAGCCAGGCUAGGUUGCACUGCAGAGCAGCUAGCUAGCUAAAAGCCAGGCUAGGUUGAAGAUUAAAUUGUGGCUAGCGACCUCCACCUAACAAUUAGCAUUAAAAAUAACUUCACAAAUAUAAAAAAAAAAGUCAUAUAUAGUACUUGGCUUAACAGUCCAUGUUUAUUAUUUAACAUUACUAUUAAAAUGGUAUUCACUUAUAGAAAUUGGUAAUUGCUUACAAAUUGCUAGCUAUCCCAUAAAGCCAUCACAGAAAACACAUAUUUUCAUCUUCUUCUAUGUUUUGGUAACUCCCUGUUCUUCGAUGGACUCUGGCUUUACUGAAGACGACUCAAAGUUUUAAAAAUGUAAAAGUUGCGGUGUCCGUCUCACAACGGAGUCUUGAACCUCAAGGGGGCGUUGCGUUUUCACACCAUUGUGGACGUCUCCAUUGAAAUGCAUGACAUGCGGUGCAACGUAACAGAGUGCUUAUGGGUAAUGUGAAUGAGGCUUAAGACCUGCUUUUCAUUGGUCUUAAAUCUCCCAAUAUGCACCACAUGAAAUUGCCACUUAUUUUAAAAUGACACAUCUGAAAUAUUUCCACUCUUCCCACCUUAGCGCAAGCGAGCUGAUAUUGACAGGUAAAUUGAUGAACCUGGUGCAUGGGUUGGAAAACGCCAGAGCGACAGUUUUUACAUGCUGAAAUUGCAAACUAUCUGUGUUAGGUAAAUAGCAGCCAGGUCACCUGUGAUUACAAGUGAGUAUUCGACAUCCAUCCAUGUCUGAUGAUAUCGGGAGAUGGCUUGGAAACCUGCCACCAGGGGCAAAAGUGAGCGCUGUUACCUUCAAGUAAGUUUGGGUUUUGCUUGGUUUACUAACUACAAAUACAGCAAUAGAAAGUUGGUU